UGGAUUUUGGUUGUUUUUUCAUUAACAUCGUAUGUAUGAAUUGCUCAGUGUCCAUAAAAGAAAGGAAUCAAGAAAAGGAAGAUGGAAAAGGUCUUUAGUCAUUAAUAUGGCUUUAAGAGAGCUCUACA